AUGUCUUACAAACCAAACGUGGCUGUGCACAUGCCUUCCCCUUCCCUCAAUAUUGCUGGGAAUGUCCACCAACCCUACACCAGUCUGGUGACAUCCUCACAGUACUGCUACCUGCUGAGUGACUACAGGCCACAUUCUCCAGGCUACACCCAGGGAACCAGGAACAGCUGUGUACCCCAAAGCAAAUAUGCUGAACUGUUGGCCAUCAUGGAGGAGUUGGGGAAAGAGAUUAGAUCCACAUAUGUGCAGAGCACGAGAGCCAUGAAGAGACUUAAACAAGGCAUUAUUCACACCAAAAGGCUGGUUCCAGAAAGCUUGGUUGAAACGGAACAGAAUGCCAGAUCCUAG